rnacentral:lncRNA from 1 species
CUUUGAUAACUAUUUACACCACUGGGUCGAUGUCACUGCUGGUGGACGUUUCGUCCCCGAGGGUAUCACCAGCCCAGUAGUCAGCACUUCAGUGUUGACAUGAAUAUCAAUUAUGUGGUCAUUUUUAUAAAUUUCCUGUUUACAAAACUUUGAAUUUUUAGAAAAAACUAAGGAUUUUCUUAUCCCAGGAAUAAAUUACCUUAGCCGUAUUUGGCACAACUUUUUGGAAUUUUGGAUCCUCAAUACUCUUCAACUUUGUAUUUGUUUGGCUUUACAACUAUUUUGAUAUGAGCGUCACUGAUGAGUCUUAUGUAGACGAAACGCGCG